rnacentral:rRNA from 1 species
AUUGAACGCUGGCGGCAUGCUUUACACAUGCAAGUCGAACGGCAGCGCGGGCUUCGGCCUGGCGGCGAGUGGCGAACGGGUGAGUAAUACAUCGGAACGUGCCCAGGAGUGGGGGAUAGCUCGGCGAAAGCCGGAUUAAUACCGCAUACGACCUGAGGGUGAAAGCGGGGGAUCUUCGGACCUCGCGCUAUUGGAGCGGCCGAUGGCAGAUUAGCUAGUUGGUGGGGUAAAGGCCUACCAAGGCGACGAUCUGUAGCUGGUCUGAGAGGACGACCAGCCACACUGGGACUGAGACACGGCCCAGACUCCUACGGGAGGCAGCAGUGGGGAAUUUUGGACAAUGGGCGAAAGCCUGAUCCAGCAAUGCCGCGUGUGUGAUGAAGGCCUUCGGGUUGUAAAGCACUUUUGGCGGGAACGAAAAGGACUGUGCCAAUACCACGGUUCGAUGACGGUACCCGAAGAAUAAGCACCGGCUAACUACGUG